AUACUUACUUGGACGGGAUCAAUGAGUGAUAAAAAAGGCUCAUAAUCUAGGUUGGUGACCUCCAUUGCACGCAGAAGGGGUGCCUGCCUAAGGUCGGCCCAAGUGGUCGAGCCUACGUCAUAAUUUGUGACAGUAGGGGACAGCGUUCGUGCGGCCCUUUC